GUUGUAAACCUCUUUUAGCAGGGUAAGAAGCGAAAGUGACGGUACCUGCAGAAAAAGCACCGGCUAACUACGUGCCAGCAGCCGCGGUAAUACGUAGGGUGCAAGCGUUAUCCGGAAUUAUUGGGCGUAAAGAGCUCGUAGGCGGUUUGUCACGUCUGCUGUGAAAACUGGAGGCUCAACCUCCAGCCUGCAGUGGGUACGGGCAGACUAGAGUGCGGUAGGGGAGAUUGGAAUUCCUGGUGUAGCGGUGGAAUGCGCAGAUUUCAGGAGGAACACCGAUGGCGAAGGCAGAUCUCUGGGCCGUAACUGACGCUGAGGAGCGAAAGGGUGGGGAGCAAACAGGCUUAGAUACCCUGGUAGUCCACCCCGUAAACGUUGGGAACUAGUUGUGGGGUCCAUUCCACGGAUUCCGUGACGCAGCUACGCAUUAAGUUCCCCGCCUGGGGAGUACGGCCGCAAGGCUAAAACUCAAAGGAAUUGACGGGGACCCGCACAAGCGGCGGAGCAUGCGGAUUAAUUCGAUGCAACGCGAAGAACCUUACCAAGGCUUGACAUAUACGAGAACGCUGCAGAAAUGUA
rnacentral:rRNA from 1 species